rnacentral:lncRNA from 1 species
GUCGGGACUCACAAUAGAGAGACUGAAUCAUACGUAACUACACAUAAAGGUUCAUCACUUUUAUUCUACUAGAUUAUCACUACAAACUAGUAGAUGUCACUGAUAGAUUGUGAGAGCUUACUAGGAUUAUUCUGGAUCAAUAAUCUUUAAUGAGUGAGAGUGGAAUCAUUCCGAUCCAUUGAAAAAGUUUCAAUGAUACUAUGAUAGAGAUCAUGGUAUAUCUCACUACC